rnacentral:lncRNA from 1 species
UACAGUAAAAAGUUUUAUUAUUGAUUAAUGAAUUUGUUAAAAAAUUGUGCUCCAUUGGUCGUUUUUGUUUUUCUACCAAUAUUUACUUCUGAGACAAUGAUAUAGUGUAACGUCUUUACUGGGCUAGUGUAGCUCAUUCCUUACUUAACCAUUUCAGAUUCUGAGGACUUGGUUCCCGAGCCCAUUACGCAGGAAGAUG